ensembl:snRNA
GUGCUGUAUGAAAGGAGAGAUUAGAAUUCUUGGAAAUGAUGAGAAGGUCCUAAUUAACGAUACAACACAUUCAUGGUGAAGGUAUUGCUAUGUACUUUGUGGCCUCUCAUCAUGGUAUUGC